rnacentral:rRNA from 1 species
AGAGUUUGAUUCUGGCUCAGGAUGAACGCUAGCGGCAGGCCUAAUACAUGCAAGUCGAGGGGCAGCAGGGGUAGCAAUACUCGCUGGCGACCGGCGCACGGGUGCGUAACACGUAUGCAACUUUCCUUCAACUGGAAGAUAGCCCGAAGAAAUUCGGAUUAAUAUUCCAUAGUUAUAUGAAAUGGCAUCAUUUUAUAUUUAAAGCUCAGGCGGUUGAAGAUGGGCAUGCGUUCGAUUAGCUAGUUGGUGAGGUAAUGGCUCACCAAGGCUACGAUCGAUAGGGGAUCUGAGAGGAUUAACCCCCACACUGGUACUGAGACACGGACCAGACUCCUACGGGAGGCAGCAGUAAGGAAUAUUGGACAAUGGAGGCAACUCUGAUCCAGCCAUGCCGCGUGAAGGAUGAAGGUCCUAUGGAUUGUAAACUUCUUUUGAACGGGAGAAAACCUUCGGUCGUGUACCGAAGCUGAUAGUACCGUUAGAAUAAGGGUCGGCUAACUUCGUGCCAGCAGCCGCGGUAUACGAAGGACCCGAGCGUUAUCCGGAUUUAUUGGGUUUAAAGGGUGCGUAGGCGGAAUGGUAAGUCAGUGGUGAAAUCUUGUGGCUUAACUGCAAAACUGCCAUUGAUACUGCCAAUCUUGAGUACAUUUGAUGUGGGCGGAAUGUGCCAUAUAGUGGUGAAAUACUUAGAUAUGGCACAGAACACCGAUCGCGAAGGCAGCUCACAAAACUGUUACUGACGCUGAGGCACGAAAGCGUGGGGAUCAAACAGGAUUAGAUACCCUGGUAGUCCACGCCUUAAACUAUGAUUACUCGAUGUGUGCGAUACACAGUACGCGUCUAAGCGAAAGCGUUAAGUAAUCCACCUGGGGAGUACGGUCGCAAGAUUGAAACUCAAAGAAAUUGACGGGGGCCCGCACAAGCGGAGGAGCAUGUGGUUUAAUUCGAUGAUACGCGAGGAACCUUACCUGGGCUUGAAAGUUAGUGAAUGCUGUGGAAACAUGGCAGGCCGCAAGGACACGAAACUAGGUGCUGCAUGGCUGUCGUCAGCUCGUGCCGUGAGGUGUUGGGUUAAGUCCCGCAACGAGCGCAACCCCUAUCUUUAGUUGCCAGCGAGUAAUGUCGGGGACUCUAAAGAAACUGCCCGUGCAAACGGUGAGGAAGGUGGGGAUGACGUCAAGUCAGCACGGCCCUUACGUCCAGGGCUACACACGUGCUACAAUGGCGAGUACAAAGGGCAGCUACAUGGUGACAUGAUGCUAAUCUCUAAAACUCGUCUCAGUUCGGAUUGAAGUCUGCAAUUCGACUUCAUGAAGCUGGAUUCGCUAGUAAUCGAAUAUCAGCAAUGAUUCGGUGAAUACGUUCCCGGGCCUUGUACACACCGCCCGUCAAACAAAUGGAAGCUGAGGGUACUUAAAGUCGAUAACCGCAAGGAGUCGCCUAGGGUAAAAUCGGUAACUGGUGUUAAGUCGGAACAAGGUA